ensembl:lncRNA
AUCUGUGUACUCGAGUCCUCCUGAAGAGAAUCCUUGUCUUGGCCUGAGUAGAGAGAGCACUUGCAGAACUGGUAGCUGUUUCCUGUUGAUUGUGCUUCGUGGAAUCAGUUCCUAUACAUCUUCAACUGUGCGCUGUCUUUAUCUUGAACUGAAGGACUGUUCACUGAAGUCUGACUUUUCAGAAAUACAAAUCUCUACACUCUGCUUCCCCACCAGUGAAGUCUUGUGCUAAAGCAAUUACCUGCUUCAAACCUUUUGUAUGAUCUGCAAAGGUUGCUUAGUGGCAUGAUGGGUUGGUGCGAAUGUGGUAAGGGAAAGAAAAGGGGCUGCACUGCAACUUCUCAAUUCAUCUAAAAUCUUUGACAAUGGACUAUAAAGAGUCUGCUGCUGCAAUGAGUUGGGUGACUACAUGUUCAAGUCAGUAAAUGGAUUUCCUUGUUCAUGGGACAACUGCUUGGAUUUUGGCAAGAAAAAUUUUCUGGAUUAUAUCCUUAAAACCUUGGUGUUGGAAAGCUGCUGAAGCACAUACUGAUCUUUUCUGGGAGAGUCACGUGCUUCCCUGAAGCAGAAUGCUUCCUCAAAUUGGUCUUGAGGUUGUUUUAGAAUAGUAGCGGGCAUCUGGAAAAACAAAUGUUCCAGUUCAGGAUGUCAUGGGGAAAUUUUAAUACAAGAAAUAUGUAUGAACCCUGUGGUCUGAAAGAACUGCCAGAAGGGAAGCUCAAAGAAAGUCCAUAUCGGCAGUAACAGCCAAGGAGGAGAGUGACUGAAACAUUGAGAACCUGUGUGUUUAGUUGGACUAAGCAGAUUUGUCCAACUAGGAUCAAGAUAUAAGACAUUUCUAUCAGAACCCUAACUGGAACACUUUGGAAUUUGGUCUACUUUUUGCAUCUGCAUCAACUCUUCCUAGUUGUUGUGGGGUUUUUUUUUUUAUCCAGUAACUCAGCUUAAGUUGGUAUAUCUCUGAGUAUGGAAUAAUUAGCCAAUGAAAUCAGUAGAAAGACUUUUUUUUCUGAAUUUGGGAGAUUCUGGAACUUGUUCUAAUCAGUCUAGCCUGUUUGAAGGCUGUAGGUCUCUAUGCAGUGUGCUAAACAAACAAAGUGUUGAGUCAUCUUGUUGCUUGUGCAUUUAUCUUACAUAGAAAGCAUUAUUUCUCCCUUCCUUUUUGAUAUUUUCCUGCUCUUUCCUUUCUGCACUCAUUAAAGUACACUUGGCUUUUGCAAUGCAAAUCUCCUGCCUACUGGAAUUCCAGUUAUUGGAGAAAGGGUGUGUAUUUUUCCACAUAGGAAUGUGAUGGGAAUUGGAUCAUUAGUGUUCCUUGCGGUGUGCAACAGUGCUGUUUGUAAGCUUACUAUUUCACAUAUGAAUAAGGCUUUAUAGGAGGAGGGCUUAAAACUCAAAAGAGUACUCUGGAAGAUUUUGGAAGGUACCUGUCAAACUAAUUGUUAUUGAUAAUAAAAGUAGAUCUCAUCU